AGGGGAAUGAUUGAGGAGUCAAAUAGAAAAGUCUUUGUAUGCUUGCUGCUAAUGUUGCCCUGAAAUCUAAUGGGAAUCUAUAAGGUAGCAGAAUUAAUUCAGUAUUAGUAAAUAUGCUGCUGGGAUACGCCAUCUCAAUGUAUCAGCAUCCAGAUGUAAGACCUUUGACAGGUGGAAUAUUCUGUAAAAUGUGAUUUAUCUCUCACCUAUCCUCUACUAACCCCCUGCCCCCCCACCCCCAUAUUCCUUUCGGUUAUCCAAACAUUUUUACCUAGAGGCUUGUUUAAAUGUAAGGUUCCCAGCAGACAUAAUUCAAAUCACAAGAAAUUAACUGUUUUUUUAACUUUCCAUUUUUGCUUAUGGAGGAUAAAGGUCCUGAGACCUCUCGAAAUCUUACAGAGAGCUGUUUGUCACACCCAGCUCUGGUCUUCUCUCUGCUUCAACCAGCUAUGAAAUCUUUGUCUUAAAUCCUCAUUUGUUACCUAAAGGUAGACUAAAUUAUUCCUUCCAGCCAUGAUGUAUUGUGGGUGUGAUACAGUUGAAAUAAUAUAUUUAAAAGUGCUUUGUAAAUGUUCUUAAUGACACUCAAGACGUACUGUACUGCGAAACAAGUAAUCUUUUAAGGCGAUACCAGCAGAUGUAUUCAUUGUAGCCGGUUUUCUUCUCAGCGUCACUUUUCCCAUAUUCGUUUUGAAUGCCUGAAAUGAAGUUCAACUAUAAAUGGCUCUAAAAUUUGUUAAGCCGGGUGGAAAGAAAGGUCUUCACUUUGUUUUGUGUUUAAAUCCAGUUCUUCAUUUCUGUUCAUACUAGUGCUUGCUUUUCAUGGCCAGAAAAGCAGAAACGUACCCUUCUGCUGUCUGCAGUGUCUGUUGGACCUCACAGAAAUGUCUUCAUGCUUUUACCUAGCAGGAACACCAGAGGCUGGGGCCCUGGGCCAACACUGAAGUCCUCCUGGAAUCUGUGCUCCGGGGGCUGUGCCGGGUAGAGAGGGCAGUGGGAGAAAAAGAAAAGCAACUGUCAUCAGAUUCACAAGAAGUGGAACCUAAUUCACAUUUGGCUUACUGACAUCAGUGUACAGCGCAUUGCAAGGAAACUGCAUUCAGAUCUCUGCCCUCUAAGGAUAUGAACAGAUAAUUAAUUACACCUUCAACAAAUAAAGCUAUUUAUAUUUUUGUUUUAUGCUAAAUUCA